UAUCUGGGAGUGUCAUCCUAACUCUGGAAACAGACAUUAAACUUUUUGGGGAAAUAUAAGGAAAAGCAAUGGUACUCAUUUUACUGAGGAACCUGCAUGGGGGAAGAUCAUGAUUCAUGAAUAUUAUGGUGCCAGGUUUGACUGAAAACCAGCAAGCUCUGCAGAAAAAAAUGUAGCAUUGAUACUGAAUGGAAAUUGUCCUUCCAACCAAUGAUACAUGUCACCCGUUGGACCCCAGGGAGCUACACACAGUGAUGCUCAGGAGCCCUAGGCCUUGUCUAUACUUACUCAGAGAUCGACACUACAGAGAUCGAAUUUCCAGGGUUUGAUUUAUAGGAUCUCGUAAGGACUGGCUAAAUCGACUGCUUAUGGUGCCCCCGUUGACCCUGCUACACCACGGGGUCAGGAGGAGUCAGGGAAGUUGAUGGCAGAGUUUCUCAUUAUCAGUAGAAAAGAGGAAAGAAAAGACUCCAACCUGGCGAUCAGAAGAGCUAUUCUAAGGCUCUGAGACUAAUGGUCCUAUUUUGCUUUGGAUUCUACCAUCUGGAGUGAGAAUGAAGGUAAUGCAACACUGACUGGACUUGACUGGACUAGUGAGGUGCAGAGCUGACUUUGCAGGGGGGCUAGCCUAGUUUAGUGAAGGUGGCAAUGCAGAACUGACUUUCCAGGAUGGUCUGGCUCGAGCAGCAGCAAUGUAGAGAUGAUUGCACAGUAACCUGAUAGAUAACGGCUACGUCUAGACUGCAGGCUUCUUUCGGAAGAAGCUUUUCCGGAAGAGAUCUUCCA